rnacentral:rRNA from 1 species
AUUGAACGCUGGCGGCAUGCCUUACACAUGCAAGUCGAACGGCAGCACGGGUGCUUGCACCUGGUGGCGAGUGGCGAAAGGGUGAGUAAUACAUCGGAACGUACCUUGUCGUGGGGGAUAACGCAGCGAAAGCUGUGCUAAUAACGCAUACGCCCUGAGGGGGAAAGCGGGGGAUCGCAAGACAUCGAGCGCGUAGAGCGGCCGAUGCCUGAUUAGCUUGUUGGUGGGGUAAAAGCCCACCAAGGCGACGAUCAGUAGCUGGUCUGAGAGGACGAUCAGCCACACUGGGACUGAGACACGGCCCAGACUCCUACGGGAGGCAGCAGUGGGGAAUUUUGGACAAUGGGGGCAACCCUGAUCCAGCAAUGCCGCGUGAGUGAAGAAGGCCUUCGGGUUGUAAAGCUCUUUUGUCAGGGAAGAAACACCGGCUCUAACACAGUCCGGGAAUGACGGUACCUGAAGAAUAAGCACCGGCUAACUACGUGCCAGCAGCCGCCGUAA